UAUAUACUCCCUCCGUCCCAAAAUUCUUGUCUUAAAUUUGUCUAAAUACGGAUGUAUCAAGUCAUGUUUUAGUAUUAGAUACAUCCGUAUCUAGACUAAUCUAAGACAAGAAUUUUGGGAUGGAGGGAGUAUUAA
rnacentral:pre_miRNA from 1 species